CAACCCUUGACAUGGGUAUCGCGGGACCGGAGACGGUCCUUUCAGUUCGGCUGGAUACCACACAGGUGCUGCAUGGCUGUCGUCAGCUCGUGUCGUGAGAUGUUCGGUUAAGUCCGGCAACGAGCGCAACCCACACUUUCAGUUGCCAUCAUUCAGUUGGGCACUCUGGAAGAACUGCCGGUGAUAAGCCGGAGGAAGGUGUGGAUGACGUCAAGUCCUCAUGGCCCUUACGGGUUGGGCUACACACGUGCUACAAUGGUGGUGACAAUGGGUUAAUCCCCAAAAGCCAUCUCAGUUCGGAUUGUCGCCUGCAACUCGGCGGCAUGAAGUCGGAAUCGCUAGUAAUCGCGUAACAGCAUGACGCGGUGAAUACGUUCCC
rnacentral:rRNA from 1 species